UGUUUGCCAGCACGUAAUGGUGGGAACUCCAGGGAGACUGCCGGUGAUAAACCGGAGGAAGGUGGGGACGACGUCAAGUCAUCAUGGCCCUUACGAGUAGGGCUACACACGUGCUACAAUGGCGCAUACAGAGGGCGGCCAACCAGCGAUGGUGAGCGAAUCCCAAAAAGUGCGUCGUAGUCCGGAUUGGAGUCUGCAACUCGACUCCAUGAAGUCGGAAUCGCUAGUAAUCGUGGAUCAGAAUGCCACGGUGAAUACGUUCCCGGGCCUUGUACACACCGCCCGUCACACCAUGGGAGUGGGCUGCAAAAGAAGUAGGUAGUUUAACCUUCGGGGGGACGCUUACCACUUUGUGGUUCAUGACUGGGGUGAAGUCGUAACAAGGUAGCCCUAGGGGAACCUGGGGCUGGAUCACCUCCUUAUACGAUGAU
rnacentral:rRNA from 1 species